rnacentral:rRNA from 1 species
AGAUUGAACGCUGGCGGCAUGCCUAACACAUGCAAGUCGAACGGGAGUAGCAAUACUCUAGUGGCGGACGGGUGAGGAAUACGUAGGAAUUUGCCCUUAAGUGGGGGAUAACCCGGGGAAACCCGGAUUAAUACCGCAUGACCUCGAAAGAGCAAAGUGGGGGAUCGCAAGACCUCACGCUUUUGGAGAAGCCUACGUCGGAUUAGCUAGUUGGUGAGGUAAUGGCUCACCAAGGCGACGAUCCGUAACUGGUCUGAGAGGAUGAUCAGUCACACCGAACUGAGACACGGUCCGGACUCCUACGGGAGCAGCAGUGGGGAAUAUUGGACAA